UCAGUAACACGUAGUCAACUGCCCUGGAGACACGGAUAACCCCGGGAAACUGGGACCAAUCCGUGAUAGGUCGCCUCAUCUGGAAGGAGAGGCGGCCAAAGGGGAGUUGUGGGCUUCCACUUCUAUCGCUCCAGGAUGGGACUGCGGCCGAUCAGGCUGUUGGCGGGGUAAUGGCCCACCAAACCUGUAACCGGUACGGGCCUUGAGAGAGGGGGCCCGGAGAUGGACACUGAACAAGGGUCCAGGUCCUACGGGGCGCAGCAGGCGCGAAACCUUCGCAAUGUGCGAAAGCAUGACGAGGUUAAUCCGAGUGGCUUCCGCUGAGGAAGUCUUUUGCCGACUCUAAAACGGUCGGAGAAUAAGGGGAGGGCNAAGUCUGGUGCCA
rnacentral:rRNA from 1 species